ensembl:lncRNA
AGUAGAGAAUGGAGCUGAUCUUCUACAGUGAACAUUUUCGGAGAUUGGCGUUAGCGCCUCAUCGCACUGGAUUUCUUAUAACGCAUCACACACACACACUCAAGUUGACACUCAUCUUCACAAGUUGACAUUCAAAACAGGACACAUUAUAAGGUCUAAUUUAACCUAGCAAUUAUUUGUUUCACAAUCUUUUGAGUAUUUUUGUAUAGGUUGGUAUAGUGAAUGCUCUUGUGUCCAUUAAGUGCUGUAUGUAUAUUUUAUCUCUCAGAAAAAAAAAACAAAGCAAUCAGAGUAAUUAUUAUUACUAUGUUUGUGCAGACCUCAUGUGUUUAGAAACCUAUAUUUACUGAAAUUCCGGACAUUUCUGUUGAUCUGCCUUUAACAGUAUCAAUUGCUUUCUCUUCUUUAAUUGUUGUCUAUUCUGUAAGUAAGAAUGGCGUAUGAGAGAGCAUGCAAAUACUAUCUGAGUAAAAAUUAGUUACAUUUAGUGUAUUGUCAAUAGUGUUAAUACUUGAAAUACUAUUUCUAAUGAUAUAACAAUACUGUAUAUGGCACUUUACGAUGAUAUAUGAACUUAUUUUAUGACCAAGUGUGCAGUUCUUGGUUUUGUACUCAAUACUGUUUGUAUAUCUUGAAAAGCCAUGCGCUCUUUAUCAGUGAGCCAAUUGCAUGUUUAAAUGCAUGUGAAACUUCUUAGCCAUGUCACAAAAGAAAGCGCUCUCUUUUCUUUCCUCCCGCAAUAACAAUGUUUUGCAUAUUAUGAUGCGCAAAGAGUAUUAUGUACAUACUGUAUCAGAAGUGGCUUAAGAAAAUUAAGAAUUUAAACUUCUUAAGACUUUGCUAUGUAGAAAAACCUCUUUCUCUGUCUCACUGGUUGAAGUUCUCUCAUGCUUUCUCAUCUCCAGUCUCUUUAAGGGGUGCAUCAAACUGCCACGUUUUUUCAUCCAACCAUCACUUGGUGUCUCACGCAAAACCGUCUCUUGUGAGACCUUUUACGUGACGAAACCCCAAGUGAGUUGCUUUGUAUUUGACUCUGGUGCUGCAUUUUUGUACACACCUAUUGGUUAGAUGCAAAAAACAGGCCGUUUCCCAUGUUCUGGAGUUGAGAAACAUUUGUUCUUUUGGUCUAAAGCGACCUCUGACCUCUCACUGAGGACUUUUGAACCAGCAAUGUGAAUUAUGUAAAACAUAAAUAUGCUUUUCCACACAAGUGCAGGUGGACAAAUGAUUUGAAAAUUCUUCCUUAAAGAUAAAAUGAACGCAGAAUAUAUGACAUUGUUGACUGUCAUGAUUGUAAUUUUUUUGUUUGUUUGUUUGUUCUGUUCCUAAAAUGGCUAUUUUGGAUAAGAAAUAUUUGCCUUUUGGUGUUACACUUGACAAACAUAAGGACUGAAUUUCAUUUUAAGCCCAUUGUCUCUGACAAAUGAGUGCAUGCUUGUUUUCUUUCGUCUUCCUCUAUCUCAACCCAUAGUUUGUGUACCUGUACCACACUAUUAUAUCUGUUUUCAGGUCUAAUACAGUGUGCAUACAUUUUGCAAUAGGCUGUAUUUUUGGCUUUCUGGGGAACUUGAUAAGGAUGUGAUCCCAUCAGCCUCCAGUAUUCUGUGAAUCAUGUUGAUGAUUGACUCCUACACAUAGACAUAAGCUUUAACUUGUUAUGUUCAUGUACAAACACUCACAUUAGACCUAUUUAAAUAAGAAUUGCUUCAAAGUUUGCUUUUGAGUUAAAGCAAACCUUUUGUUUCUAUUUAGAUUACAAUGCAAAUAAGACUUCUCUGUGCAUAUUAAAAUAUGUGCAGAUAACAAACAAUGGUGAAUGUGUGAUUAAUUUAUUGUGUAUGACCAAUGUACUUGUAAUUACUAUUUAUAAUGUAUAUAAGGCAGUGACCUUAAAGGGAAAAAAAAAUCCACCCUGAAUGACUAUGUGAUCUUCAGUGAUAUAUUUUGAAAUGAAAUCCUCAGUCGAACUUGUUUCGUUGACAUAUUGGUUGAAUUUCACCUUUUGUUUUCUGCAUUACUCACAAUUACCUACUGAUAGUGGCGGCAAUGGGAUUUAGCCCUCACUUCAUCUCUACCUAUGAAGCAGCGAUCUCUACCUAUGAUGCAGCGAUGCAGCAGCGCUUUAGUACUUUAGUCUGUCCAGCUGUCUCACUAACUUAUCUGUACACUCUGCUCAAACAGAUCAGGUUCCAAAGUUUGCAUUUCCGAGCUAAUAAUGCCAUCAAUACCAUCACGCUCAUCAGCUGUUGCGUUACAGUAAAUCAUUACCUGUCAUGUUGAUGGACAGUGCUGUCAAAAUUCCGCCAUUUUAAUUUGUCGUAUUUUUCCACUUGCCAGUUGAAUGAUUGUAUAGAAUUGGUUUUGAUUUUCUAUGUCUGUGGCGGAAGACAAAUGCCUAGACUAAAU